AAAAUAAAUACAUAAUAAAUUUAUUUCUUUUAAAUGUGUACUUUAUCACUAUUCGUAACUUUAUGAAAGCCUCUCUCUUAAUGGAUGAACGGUGAGACGAUGACCAAAUCAAAAUAGAAUUAGGGACAAUAAAAUUUUGGAAUUUCUCUUGUCCUCAACAAGCAGUUUCAACAAAUGAUAUAAACAGUCCUGGAAAUGCUUGCACAUUCAAAUGUUCAUAUUUGCGUGAGAUGUUUAAUUUAUUAUUGCACAUUUUAAAAGUCCAAGAACAACUCAGAUUUAAAUUAUAGUUCGCUAAAAACUACUGUCUAAAACUUAUUAUCCUCAUUAAUAAAAUCUAUAGUAGAUAUUUACUAAGUAAAUUCACAUUAUAAAAGAAUACAUUUUAUCUGGCUAAAAUUACUAAAUAAAAAUAAAAUGUACUUUUUCCCCCUCAUUCUGUAAUUAUGUUAAAAUAAGUUAUAGAAAUAUUUAUGUCACCAAUUUUUGAGUAUUAUAUUGGUGCAAAAGUAAUUGCGGUUUUUGCCAUUGAAAGUGAUGCCAAAAACCGCAAUUACUUUUGCACCAACCUAAUAAUUAUAAUUUGUGGUAAUAUUAAGAACUAUUAUUUUAGAACCCAAACAAUCUAAAACUGAAGUUGCAUCUCAUAAAGCUUUCUGUCCACAGCAGAGGUGUAAUGCAAAAGGAAAGAGGAAAUUUUUCCUGAGGUCUGUUUGUGAUUAUUAAUUUGCAAGUAUUUAUUUUUAUGGUUUUUGAUGAUCAGCAUACCACUAUUCUGUCAUUUAUCACAAUCAACAAAACAUUCAAACAACUACAACCUUCUAAUGACCAGGUGGAUUUGUACAAAUUACAGAAUGAAUCAGCUAAUUUUACUACUAAGUAAAAUAAUAAAAUAGCAAACAGUAAAAUUG
rnacentral:lncRNA from 10 species